UACGAAGGGGGCUAGCGUUGUUCGGAAUUACUGGGCGUAAAGCGUGCGCAGGCGGCUUCUCAAGUCAGGGGUGAAAGCCCCAGAGCUCAACUCUGGAAUUGCCUUUGAGACUGAGUGGCUUGAGUACGAGAGAGGUGAGUGGAAUUCCCAGUGUAGAGGUGAAAUUCGUAGAUAUUGGGAAGGAACACCGGUGGCGAAGGCGGCUCACUGGCUCAGUUUCUGACGCGUCAGGCGGCGACAGCGUGGGGAUCCAAACAGG
rnacentral:rRNA from 1 species